rnacentral:misc_RNA from 1 species
AAAAGGCGAAACGUCAUGUGACCUGCAUGCUUUGCGAAUCAUCAAAUCUUUGAACGCAUCUUGCACCGGACGCCCUGCGCAUCCGGUAUGCUUGUUUGAGCACGGCGUAGACACUCACGCGCGCCCUGGGCACGGCGGCGUGGAUAUAUGGACGUGUGGACGCUGACGUGGGGCACCAAGGCGAACGGUUUGGGGAACACCGCGUACACCUGCCUCGCCGAUAGACCACUCGACUGAAAUGCAGGCCGCGGCCUUGCCGAUGGGUUGAGACCCUUCAGAGGCAGGCGUGGCGGGAUGGCACCAUAUCCGUGCCAGACCACACCUGAUGAUGAUAUGGUUGCGUCGCUUGCGACACGAUCCGCUCAUCGCAAUUCUCAUCCACCGUCUCAAAUCAAGCAAG